GAUGAACGCUGGCGGCGUGCCUAAUACAUGCAAGUCGAGCGAACAGACGAGGAGCUUGCUCCUCUGACGUUAGCGGCGGACGGGUGAGUAACACGUGGAUAACCUACCUAUAAGACUGGGAUAACUUCGGGAAACCGGAGCUAAUACCGGAUAAUAUAUUGAACCGCAUGGUUCAAUAGUGAAAGACGGUUUUGCUGUCACUUAUAGAUGGAUCCGCGCCGCAUUAGCUAGUUGGUAAGGUAACGGCUUACCAAGGCAACGAUGCGUAGCCGACCUGAGAGGGGGAUCGGGCAAACUGGAACUGAGACACGGUCCAGACUCCGACGGGAGGCAGCAGUGGGGAAUCUUCCGCAAUGGGCGAAAGCCUGACGGAGCAACGCCGCGUGAGUGAUGAAGGUCUUCGGAUCGUAAAACUCUGUUAUUAGGGAAGAACAAAUGUGUAAGUAACUAUGCACGUCUGGACGGUACCUAAUCAGAAAGCCACGGCUAACUACGU
rnacentral:rRNA from 1 species